UGUACAUAUUGUGAAUUCCUAAGGCCAGUAACCUCCUAAAUCAAUCAAAUAAAUUAAUUAACUAUCAGAGAAUUACUGGACCAGCUCUCCAUCUAACGGGUCCGGUUCCCGUAGCCCAUAUGGGUCAACCCAGAUGAGAUCUGAGGAACGUUUUUAAGCUGGUAAGCGAGAAAAUUCGCCUAGCUUCUAACUGCCUCCAUCCAGACGCCUAUCCUGCUUCCUCUGAUAACUAACUCAACUGAGUAGCCACUUUCGAAUGGUCAAAUUAAUUACCAGUCACGUCUGUUAACGGCAGCUUUUCUCUCAUCGGAUUCUGCACUUGGUAAGUUGCUAGGUUUAAGUUUAGAGGUUAAGGCAUGGAUAACCCCAAGGAUAAGUUUAAAAAAGGCCACCCUCGGCCCCAACGACUAGGUAAUCUGACAGAACCAGUUUUAGAUGUAAUGCACACAAUAACCUGACUUUUUACAAACUGAGAAGAUAUACGUGAUUAAUUCAUUAUCAUGAUAAAAAUAAAUAGAAUUUCCAAUCUGUUAACUUUAAUUGCAGGAUAAAUGUUUUAUUAUAAUUUCAGCAAGGGCGUAGCAUAAGCUCCUAAAUCACAACACUCAAUCAAACAUUAAUAUUCUUCCAAUUGCUUAACAUGACUCAUAAGUGGAACUAUGCUUUCAUAUAAGAGAAGUAAUAAUCACCCAAACUGUGUAAUUUGGAGGGGGAGAGCAGACGGUGUGGCCUCACCUGCUGCUCACCUGAAGACCGAUGCCCCGCUGGGGCUCUGCUCCAGGGAGGAGGUGGAGGGGGUUCGGUCCAGAUUUACAUCUGCUUGUAUCCAUUUUUGUUCUUUGGGCCAGUAAAAACUUUGUUAAUCCAUUCUGGUGUUAAUCCUUUUGGAAAUAAUAGAGUUCAGUAAUGUUCCUUCAGUCAGCGUUAUUUUUAGAUCACAGUCUUUCGUAAUCCUCAAACAGUGCAGAAAGAGCACUCCUUCAGUCCAUAAUUCCAGUAGAACAGAUAUUCCUUUGCAGAUCAUGUUGAAUCCCCCGUCCGAGUUACGUGGUAAAAUCCCCUUUGCUCAGAGCAUUUCUACCCUGGCUUGCAACGAGUGACCACCUCGCAACGACUCCCCACUCGUGUCUCGAUCCAGUGCAAUUUAUACAACAACUGAACCUUUUGCAUAUGCAAGAACUGCACCCUUAACUAACAUACGUGAUGACAGCAUUCAUCCCCCUCCUUACUCGUG
ensembl:lncRNA